rnacentral:rRNA from 1 species
AUGAACGCUGGCGGCGUGCUUAACACAUGCAAGUCGAGCGAAGCACUAAAGCGGAUUUCUUCGGAUUGAAGGUUUAGUGACUGAGCGGCGGACGGGUGAGUAACGCGUGGGUAACCUGCCUCAUACAGGGGGAUAACAGUUGGAAACGGCUGCUAAUACCGCAUAAGCGCACAGUACCGCAUGGUACGGUGUGAAAAACUCCGGUGGUAUGAGAUGGACCCGCGUCUGAUUAGGUAGUUGGUGGGGUAACGGCCUACCAAGCCGACGAUCAGUAGCCGACCUGAGAGGGUGACCGGCCACAUUGGGACUGAGACACGGCCCAAACUCCUACGGGAGGCAGCAGUGGGGAAUAUUGCACAAUGGGGGAAACCCUGAUGCAGCGACGCCGCGUGAGCGAAGAAGUAUUUCGGUAUGUAAAGCUCUAUCAGCAGGGAAGAAAA